rnacentral:rRNA from 1 species
UACGUAGGGUGCAAGCGUUGUCCGGAAUUAUUGGCGUAAAGAGCUCGUAGGCGGUUUGUCACGUCGACUGUGAAAACCCGGGGCUCAACUCCGGGCCUGCAGUCGAUACGGGCUGGCUUGAGUGCGGUAGGGGAGACUGGAAUUCCUGGUGUAGCGGUGAAAUGCGCAGAUAUCAGGAGGAACACCGGUGGCGAAGGCGGGUCUCUGGGCCGUAACUGACGCUGAGGAGCGAAAGCGUGGGGAGCGAACAGG